AGCGAACGCUGGCGGCAGGCUUAACACAUGCAAGUCGAGCGGUCACUUCGGUGUCAGCGGCAGACGGGUGAGUAACACGUGGGAACGUACCCUUCGGUUCGGAAUAACGCUGGGAAACUAGCGCUAAUACCGGAUACGCCCUUUUGGGGAAAGGUUUACUGCCGAAGGAUCGGCCCGCGUCUGAUUAGUUAGUUGGUGGGGUAAUGGCCUACCAAGGCGACGAUCAGUAGCUGGUCUGAGAGGAUGAUCAGCCACACUGGGACUGAGACACGGCCCAGACUCCUACGGGAGGCAGCAGUGGGGAAUAUUGGACAAUGGGCGCAAGCCUGAUCCAGCCAUGCCGCGUGAGUGAUGAAGGCCUUAGGGUUGUAAAGCUCUUUUGUCCGGGACGAUAAUGACGGUACCGGAAGAAUAAGCCCCGGCUAACUUCGUG
rnacentral:rRNA from 1 species